AAUAUUGCACAAUGGAGGAAACUCUGAUGCAGCGACGCAGCGUGAGUGAAGCAGGCCUGCGGAUCGUAAAACUCUGUCCUUGGUGCAGAUAAUGACGGUCGCCAAGGAGGAAGCCCCGGCUAAUUACGUUCCAGCAGCCGCGGUAAUACGUAGGGGGCUAGCGUUGUCCGGAUUUACUGGGCGUAAAGGGUGAGUAGGCGGUUAUGUAUGUCAGAUGUAAAAGGUGUGGGCUUAACUUACGUUAGCAUUUGAAACUGCAUAACUUGAGUGCGGGAGAGGUAAGUGGAAUUCCUAGUGUAGCGGUGAAAUGCGUAGAUAUUAGGAGGAACACCAGUGGCGAAGGCGACUUACUGGACCGUAACUGACGCUGAGUCACGAAAGCGUGGGUAGCAAACAGG
rnacentral:rRNA from 1 species